rnacentral:rRNA from 1 species
UACGUAGGGUGCGAGCGUUAAUCGGAAUUACUGGGCGUAAAGCGUGCGCAGGCGGUUUUGUAAGCCGGAUGUGAAAUCCCCGGGCUUAACCUGGGAAUGGCAUUCGGGACUGCAAGGCUGGAGUGUGGCAGAGGAGACUGGAAUUCCUGGUGUAGCAGUGAAAUGCGUAGAUAUCAGGAGGAACACCGAUGGCGAAGGCAGGUCUCUGGGCUGACACUGACGCUCAUGCACGAAAGCGUGGGGAGCAAACAGG